AUGGCCAGCAAUGGCGUCAAGGUCACCUACAUCGAGACGCAGUUCGUCACCUCCGACGCCGCGGGCUUCAAGUCCCUCGUGCAGCGCCUCACCGGCAAGUCCGCCGAGGCCGGAGCCGAAGCAGCCGCACGUCCGCUCCACCGGCCGCGCCCCAGCCGCCCAGCCGCCGAGGGGAGGAACGCUGCCGCCGGAGCACGAAGCCAUUUCAUGCCCGCCACCGCGGGCGCGGCCGGUACAGCCGGGAACGACGUGCGGGCUGCCAACGCCAACGCCGGCGCCGCGCAGCAGACGUUUCCGGACGAGCUGUACGGCCUCUGCGAUUACUCGGAGCUGUUCUGCGCGGGCGACCGGCGCCAUGGCGGCAGUUACAGUGAUUUUCUCUAUUGA
rnacentral:rRNA from 1 species